UCCGAGUUGACCCCGGCAGUCUCCUAUGAGUCCCCACCAUCACGUGCUGGCAACAUAGAACGAGGGUUGCGCUCGUUGCGGGACUUAACCCAACAUCUCACGACACGAGCUGACGACAACCAUGCACCACCUGUGCACGACCCUUUAAAGGACCUCACAUCUCUGUGAGAUUUCCGUGCAUGUCAAGCCCAGGUAAGGUUCUUCGCGUUGCUUCGAAUUAAACCACAUGCUCCACCGCUUGUGCGGGCCCCCGUCAAUUCCUUUGAGUUUCAGCCUUGCGGCCGUACUCCCCAGGCGGAGAACUUAAUGCGUUAGCUGCGGCACUGAUCGGGUCAAUCCGACCAACACCUAGUUCACAACGUUUAGGGCGUGGACUAC
rnacentral:misc_RNA from 1 species